GCGGCCCGUUCCCGCAGGCGCGCCGCGGGCAGCCGCAACCCCAAAAACUCCCCAAAAACUCCCCAAAACCCCCCGCCGGAGCCCGCGGCAGCACGGCGGCCGCCCCGCCCCGCCCCGCCCCGCCCGCUGCCAGGCAGGGCCCGGCGCUCCGAGCAAGCGGGGAGCCGGCGGCCUCAGCACUUCCCGCUGGAGGCGAGGACUGAGCUCCACGGUGCCUGCGUCCCUGCUUGCGUGCCUCUGCCCGGGUGCUGCUGCGGAGAUCCCCCAGGUCACAAGGUAACGAGAAUAAAUUUGCUCUUUGCAUUUCAUCUGUAGUUUUGUGAUUGUUCCUGUGUGAGGUAACGAGAAUAAAUUUGCUCUUUGCAUUUUAUCUGUAGUUUUGUGAUUGUUCCUGCAUCCUGCCUGUGUCAGCUCACACAUUUGGUGUAGUCAGCAGGAUCCAGGAACAGCCAUGCUAUGGCUAAAAGAGAAGUUGGGGACUGGGGAGGCCGUGAUGGCGAAUCCCCUUAUUCCGGGAUGCUCCCGUACUGAGAACUGGAUCCCCGUGGCUGCUAUCCUGGCUGAAGUGGCUCCACCAGAAGCCUGGCCUGACAUAAAUAACUGGUCAGUGGUUACUGCCAGACGAUUGCAACAGCUAUAUGCAGAUUGCCAGGGAAAGCAGCAUCAGAUUCUUCUCGCAAGUUAGUGGAGGCUGGGAUAGUUACCAGUCUGAGAGCUCUUGACCAUGAAGUUGUUGCAUUACAGAGUAAAGUGAGAGACUUGGAGAAGGAAAUUGGGACUUUACAGGAUACAAAGGUGAUCACGCGAGAAGUAAUUACUGUUCAGGCAGAGCAGUGCUAUGAGCUGCAAGAUAACAUCAGGCUGUUGGUAGCAUGUAUCACUAAUAUACAAAGGGACAAAUACAGGAAAAGUAAAGUUUUGAUUUCCCAAAUCCGUGGUCUUACCACAAAAUGGUCAUGGGAUCCCAAAGAAUGGGAUAGAAAUACUCAAAGUGAAUCCUCAUACUCUGAGACUGAGUUCAAAUUCAAGUCAGACAGGGUAUCAGCAAAGAGAAAUAUCAAAAUGCAGUUUUUGAGAGGAGUGCCUACCUCACUAAAACCCUUGAUUAUACCAGUAGUGACAAAUGCUAGAGGUAAUGUAGGUGGCCUAGCAGAUAUCUUGAGAGAGAUUUGGACUGUAAUUUCGGCGCUGUUUAUUCAGGUGGUGAGUAAAAUCAGUAAAACCGAAAGGAUCCACAAUGUGGGUGACAAGGAAACAAAUGCGGAAAGGUAUUGUACAAGUUGAUAUCCCACAAUCAGGAACAGAUGGGAUCAGGACAUCAGAAGUGUUCCACUGACAGCAAAAGUUAGCAUUCAUGCAAAAAAGCUCAUCACCCCCUAGCUCCACCACGAACUCCACACCCACGCUCCACCCCUCCUGCCACCUCAAGGCAAGGCACUACCUGGCAAACACCAAAAAAAGUACAAAUUAAGGUUUGGCAGGUCCCCCAGAAUUGCCGCUACUGCAGCCUCUUACCAUGAGGUGGAUCAAUGCCCGUAUGUUCCUCUAACUAUAAAGUGGUGGUCUGGGGGGAUUUUACAUGUAUUAGCUACAGCAGGAGCCACAGGUUACUGUAUUACAUAGUAAUAUUGAUAAUGAAGAAGCCCCAUCACGGAUCUGGGGGGAACCCACCCCUGCCCUCCAAGCUAAGGUUACCUUAACAAUAGGGAACGCCGCGCCAUUUACUGCAGUGGUGUUAACUGCCCCAAUUAAAGAAUAUAUCUUGGGUGUGGAUGUGCUGGCAGGACAAACAGUUGAAACUUUAAAUGGUCACUUCUGCUUCAGGACUUCACGAGUGGGAUUUGUUAUUCAAUCUAUAACCAUCUUGCAUGGAUUCCUGAAGUGGGAUCCUGUUGUGCUGCCAGUGCCUGGCAAAGUGGUAACUGUAAAACAGUACCUUAUUCAGGGCGGCAGGGAGCAGGGAAGGAAGAGGAAAAAAAAAAAAGCACUCAAAACCAUUUAGGCACUUCAACAAAUGGGAAUUGUUAAAGAAACUGUGACUGCUUUUAAUGAUCCUAUUUGGCCUGUUCGUAAACCAGACGGCACUUGGAGAAUGACUGUAGAUUACAGAGAACUGAAUCAAGUCACACCCCCACACUUGUAGUUAUGGUGCCAGACAUGGUUACUCUUCUAGAAAAAAAUUAGCAAAAAUCUGCAACCCUGGAAAGUGGUGAUAGACCCUGCUAAUGCUUUUUUUUUUUUUUUUUUCAAUAGCUAUUGCUUCAGAAAGUCAAGACCAGUUUGCCUUUACCUGGCAACAAAAGCAAUAUACCUUCCAAAUAUUGCCUCAGGGAUACACACGCAGUCCCUCCUUUUGCCACCAAAUUACAGCAGCUGAUGUGGCACUAUGGCCUGGUACCCUGACUGUUUACUAUUACACUGAUGAUUUGCUGAUUAUGUCAGAAUCACAACAAGAAAUUUAAGUAGCUGUUGAAUGGCUGAAAGCACAUUUAAAGGACCAAGGCUAGGCAAUUAAUCCCAAGAAGAUACAGGGCUCUAAGUACUACUGUACAAUUCUGGGGAAUAGUUUGGUAUAGACAGAUUAGAGAAAUACCAAAUAUGGUACAGCAAACAGUCCAGCAAUUUCCUGUGUCAACCACAGUAAAACAGUUACAGACUUCUGGGGGAUUUUUAGGGUAGUGGAGAAAUUUUACCUCGCCUCCAGUGGUAUUAAUGCACCCUCUGCAGAAAUUAACUAAGAAGGUUGUUUGGCAGUGGACCAAGCAACAACAAGAAGCCUUUGAUGCCUACAAAAGUUUUUGAUAGAGCAUGAGCGAUUAUACACUCCUAGGUGAGGACAUCCUUUUGAAGCAGAAACAAUUCCAGAUGAUAUAGUCUCAGGAGGAUUGUGGCACAUGACUGUGCCAAAAAAUGAGAAAGAACCUAUUAGCCUAGAUAUGAAGAUUCAUAUAACCACUCCUGAGAAUACUGUGUAGUUUUGUACCUCAACUUCUCUUACUUUACAUCCUUUGUUGAUAUCAGAUUCUCAAGUUCCUGUAUUUCAGGUAUCUUCGAUGAAUACUUGUGCCUUGCCUAGAGGAGACAGCAUUAGAAUGGUGCUCCUGGUGUCAUGAACCCAACAUCAAAUUGAAGCUCAAUCUGAAAAAGCACAAGAUAUAAUUCUCCAAUCUGUGUGGGCAAUUACCCCACAUCAGGUUAUUAAACCCAGAAUAACUUUAACUAAAGGAGCUGGAGCAAUAGUGUCUGUAUUACUAGAAGGAGAUGACACUCUGUUUUCCUUCCCUAUCACAGGUUGGCUCAUCAUGCUUUACAGUCUUACACUACAGGCACACACCCUGGAUAUAUUUCUACAAGAUCAGCACGUACAUGCUUAGAGUUGGUUGGCCUUUACUGCAACUGACUCACCUGCCUUUUGCGUUAAGAGAAGAUUAACGGCAGCUCUUUUGACAACAUGUCUCAUUGGCAUGCGAACCCCAGCAGCUGUGUUACAAAAUUAUACUAUGCUAAGUGAGUUUGAUAUUAAUGUUUCUCAUUGCUGUUUUUUCUGAGUAGGUUAAGGCUGUAUGCCAAUGAACAUCACAAAAUUGAUUGACAGUGGACUCUUUCCUCUUUCCACAACAUAAACACUGCUUCAAUUUUGAAGGCAUGUGUUGCUUCAACAUCACUGAUGGAUCAGCUGGCAUAGAGGACAACAUUCAACCACCCCAGGACUUAAUGCACCAAAUGAAACAACCUACUGAUGGUGCCUGGCUGGCUGAGUUGUAUAACUUUCUGAAAGGAUGAAUGGGAUGCCCAAUCCAAAAACAUUAUUGUAGAGACAUAUUUAUUCUUUUUAAAAUUAUUUUCCUUUCUUUACUCUAUGUGUUUUCUGCAUGCCUUCGCGCAUCGCUCCACCCCACAAACCCAAAUGAACACCUCCAGCUUUACCAGCCCCAGCAGAAAUAGUCUCCGAGCAAGGGGGUGGAAUGUGGGAAUACAAGGGAAGAUUGGUGAAGAGGAUUGUAAACACGCUCAAGUGACUUGCAGCUGGGGUGCUGAAAAACAAAUAUAUCACACUAAUUGCUGUUUAGUUUUGUGUGCUUGGCAGAUAGAAUGUCUGCGUUUAGAUAACGCAGGCCUGUGAGAGGCGCGGAGGCAUCCUAUCGAACAUCCUUGAGAUUCCUGCCCUGCUCUGGGAAUGAUCAAAGCACAGUGGAAAACUACACCUGCAAAAAUCCCUCAUAUAUACAGGCAAAAGCAGCAGGUCUGAGAUCUUUUCUUUCUGCUCCUCUUUGUGGCUAACAAGGACUGAGCUCCACGGUGCCUGCGUCCCUGCUUGCGUGCCUCUGCCCAGGUGCUGCUGCGGAGAUCCCCCAGGUCACAAGGUAACGAGAAUAAAUUUGCUCUUUGCAUUUCA